CGAAUAACAUUUUGAUUUUUAAUCGACGUUUCGACUAGUUUGAAGUUAAUCCUGAGGAUGACUACAAACUAGUCGAAACGUCGAUUAAAAAUCAAAAUGUUAUU